rnacentral:rRNA from 1 species
GAUGAACGCUGGCGGCGUGCCUAAUACAUGCAAGUCGAGCGAACGGACGAUAAUCUUUCUUUUCUGAUUUUAGCGGCUGACGGGUGAGUAACACGUGGAUAACCUACCUAUAAUACUUGGAUAACUUCGGGAAACCUGAGCUAAUACCGGAUAAUAUUUUGAACCGCAUUGUUCAAAAGUGAAAGACGGUCUUGCUGUCACUUAUAGAUGUAUCCGCGCUGCAUUAGCUAGUUGGUAAGGUAACGGCUUACCAAGGCAACGAUGCAUAGCCGACGUGAGAGGGUGAUCGGCCACACUGGAAGUGAGACACGGUCCAGAGUACUACGGGAGGCAGCAGUAGGGAAUCUUCCGCAAUGGGCGAAAGCAUGACGGAGCAACGCCGCGUGAGUGAUGAAGGUCUUAGGAUCGUAAAACUCUGUUAUUAGGGAAGAACAUAUGUGUAAGUAACUGUGCACAUAUUGACGGUAACUAAUCAGAAAGCCACGGCUAACUACGUG